UUUUAUGAAGCAGCACAAAACCAAUUAAAAAGGUUUGUGCAUCACAACUCAAUAUCUACUGUCCACUACUCCCAAAAGAUUUCUGCAAUAUGCUACACUUCAAAGAUCCUUCUCCAUUAUGAUUCUCCACUCCAUGAACUGUUUUUAUGAAGCAGCACAAAACCAAUAAAAAGGUAAAUUAAAUUCAUAUAUCUGCAAAACUUGAAUUGACAACUUUCUUAAAGCAGUCUUUCACCUGUUGAUACAUUUUCAGGUUUGUGCGUCAAAACCCAAAAUGUACUGUCCACUAUCAAAAGGUGAGUGUGCAACUAACAUAGACAUCUGUACAAUGUUUUAGUUGUGCAAACACU
rnacentral:lncRNA from 1 species